rnacentral:ncRNA from 1 species
ACCGUUAUCGUGAGGUAAUACUGAACAUACAGAAGUAAGCAGAGGCCGUAGUAGCUGAGAUUUUCAGUGAAGGGC